CCUGUGGAAGGCGAUCAGACAGACAGGUGGGCUACCUGUUGAAGGCGAGCAGACAGACAGGUGGGCUACCUGUUGAAGGCGAGCAGACAGACAGGUGGGCUACCUGUGGAAGGCGAUCAGACAGACAGGUGGGCUACCUGUUGAAGGCGAGCAGACAGACAGGUGGGCUACCUGUUGAAGGCGAGCAGACAGACAGGUGGGCUACCUGUUGAAGGCGAGCAGACAGACAGGUGGGCUACCUGUUGAAGGCGAGCAGACAGACAGGUGGGCUACCUGUUGAAGCUAAGCAGACAGACAGGUGGGCUACCUGUGGAAGGCGAGCAGACAGACAGGUGGGCUACCUGUUGAAGCUGAGCAGACAGACAGGUGGGCUACCUGUUGAAGGCGAGCAGACAGACAGGUGAGCUACCUGUUGAAGGCGAGCAGACAGACAGGUGGGCUACCUGUUGAAGGCGAGCAGACAGACAGGUGGGCUACCUGUUGAAGGCGAGCAGACAGACAGGUGGGCUACCUGUUGAAGGCGAGCAG
ensembl:lncRNA